AGAAGAUUCCAGAAGCCACUUGCUGUUGCCUGGCAGGGCACAAGGUCACCCUUCUUAUCCUGCCUCAGGGUUACAUCGGCUUUCUCGCUCUGCGCCACCAAAUCCACAGGCACCUUCAUCAGGUCACCACCCCGUAGAGCACCACACUGGUCCAUUCUAUUGAUGAAACUACACUGACAGCAUCUGGAGAGAGGAAAAUGGCAGGUUCAGCCGGAACUUGAGGCACUGGACAACUGUCUCGAUGUCAGUGACGAGCCGGGCCAGAUGGAUAUACAGC
rnacentral:lncRNA from 1 species